GUGCUCACUUCGGCGGCAUAUAUACAGACAUCGAAAUGAUACAGAGAGAUCAGCGUGGCCCUUACGCAAGGAUGACAAGCAAAUUCGUGAAGCGUUCCACAUUUUA
ensembl:snRNA U6 U6 spliceosomal RNA